rnacentral:lncRNA from 1 species
AGAGUCUUUUUGUUUUUCCAUAUGUUUUUCAUCCUUGGUUCCCAACAACCCUCUUCUUACUUGGAAGUCAUCUUUACACGUUUUACUCCUAAUGAGUCGGGUUUCUUUGUUUUGCUCGAUAAACUAUAAUGUGUUCUCUUGUUCAAUCUUAGGUUUUUUUCAGUGACUGAGGGUUAUCCGGAGGGAUAUUUUACACAUUAUUUUGCGUGCCUAGGUGAGUGUUCCUUGUUUGCUAUAUCCCUUGACUUAUUGGCCUGUUAUUAUGAAUUGAUAAUGUGUUACGUGCUUUCAAUGAUUGUUAAAACGCGUUUUCUAGGCGAGUGUGUACUUUAUCGCACUCGACCUAAAUAAAUAUGAAAUUUUCAAUGAUUAAUGAUUAAAUGCUAGUUGUGCAUGAAUGUAAGCCGUUUGGCUGAACUGGCCACUGCCCUUCGUUACCGAUCGAAUCGGGCGAUAUGGUGACCCUGGGUGAAUUUGGUAUACUCGAGUAUUACCUUGUAGUCCGGCUACGUCCGGAUGGGAGGAGUCCGGUCAAUGUCCGGAUGGGUGGAGUCCGGCCAACGUCCGGAAGAAAAAAAAAAGAGAUGAACGAGGGAUUCUACUUACAAAAAAAAUAUAUAUUGGAAACGAUUGGAGGAAUAAGGGGAAAUGUCAAGAGAACGAACAAACAAAUAGCUCCAUGUGAGCCCGUAUCCUUUUAAUGAAUGUUACUAUCGCUUUCCAUUGAAAAUGUUUCUUGAAUUAUUGAUACUCCAUGUGCGAUAUAUUGAAUUGUUUGUUUGAUUACCUGUUCGGAACCUCACUGAGCUUUUAGCUCACCCCUUUAGUUUUGUUUUCCUUAACAGGGGACGGCGAGCAGAAUGAGAGCACAGACUAGCCAGUUUAGUUCUUUUGUUUCUUUUGUUUCUUUUGUAGUGGUUCUCGCCUUGUGCUUGGCACGGGCUGGACGUAUGAAGGAUUGAGAACCUUUGUAUAUUCAAUCUUUACACUUCCGUUUGGGUUUGUCAAUGUAUAUAAGUUUCGAUGUUUGCUAUAUGAAUUCUUGUGGUUUUAUUUCGAAUUUGAUUAAGGAACGACUGAGUCCCGGCGAGAGCUGGGCAGGCGACCCGCCAAACCCUCUGGUUCGCCUUAGGGGAAGGUGGGGUCGUCACAGUUGGUAUCAGAGCUUAGGCUUUAGAUCUCUGUAGUGUAUCCUAGGCUUGAAGUUUAGGAUGCCGGACUGUGGGAUUUGAUUUGACUUGAAAGUUAAGUGAUUGGGCAAUAAAACCUAUAGCUGCUUCGCGUGGUCUCUGCGUGGAGUGACCCUGGACUAAGUGGUGAAUAAGUAUGAGGGAUUAAGUGAAGCCUUGAAUUGCGAAUGUUAUAGGCCUUAAAUCUUUCUCAUGGUAUCUGAGGACCACAGAUAGGUAUGUCAGGUAGGAAUUCCGAUCGUAGAUAGUUUACUCUUGGGACUGCAGCUCGAGAUGUGAAUUAUCUUAUUUCGGAUUCUCGUGCCUGAGUACUCUUGAGUUGCGGUGCUGUUAAGUACUUGAGACUUGCAUUUUAGGAACAUGAACAGGCUUUGUCUGACUAGAAUGGGCACAAGAGGUUAGGGCCAUCUGGUUUGGAUAGUAAGUGACGUGAGAGACCGGACGGGCUGAUACUGGGACGACUUCACCUUUUCCUUUUGAUUUACCUAUAUAUUGUUACUACAUGACGUCAGUAUACCUGUGUGUACAUGAUUAUCUGUCCAACUUGAUAUGUAGAUGUGUAUUUGCUUAUCUGUCUUCUUGAUAUGGCGUGUUAUGUGCGUAUAUAUUUAAUUGUGUAUUUGGAGUGCAAGAAUUUGUUAUUGUAGUCAAUUUCCUUUGUUUAUUUACUCAAUUACCUUUUUGGGGGAAAAGAAAAGAAAAGAGAGGGGGAAAAACAUAUAUAUGGACGGGAGACGUAGUCGUGGACGUGGAGCUAGUCGCGGCCGUGGAGCUAGGCAAGCUCAAGAACCGAGAGAAGAAAGGGAAACAGUGGCCGAGCAAGAACAGGGACCGAGGGUUGAGGCUGGAGAUCAAAUGGCGACGGCGAUGCACCAAAUGACAAAUAUCUUAGCACGACUGGUAGAUCAACAAGGUCAAAUGCCAGUGAAUCAACCCCGGAAUCCUGAGAUCGGAGAGGAUAAGGCUCUUGAGAGGUUCCAAAAGUUUCUACCUCCGAAAUUUCAAGGAGGGCCUGAUCCGGAUAUAGCUGAGCAGUGGUUGGAGGCGAUGAUUAAUAUCUUUGCGGCUUUGAAUUAUACGGAGCAAAGACAAGUAAAUUUUGCUGUAUUUCAAUUCGAAGGACCAGCCCGCGCGUGGUGGAAUGUAAUUAAGGCCAAGUGGGAAAGAGAACAGACGAUAUGGACAUGGGCGAACUUUGUAAGGGCAUUUAACGAAAAGUAUCUCCCACCUUUAGUCCAAGAAAGGAGAGAGGACGAAUUUAUUGGGUUGCGUCAGGGAACCCUAAGUGUGGCCGAAUAUGAGACCAAAUUUACUAGACUGUCUAAAUUCGCUUCCGAAUUGGUGGUUACGGAGCGACGGAGAAUACGACGAUUUAUACAAGGACUAAAUUUGGAAAUCCAGGAGGCAUUAGCGGCAGUCCAAGUUAAUACCUUUACAGAGGCUCUUGAGAAGGCCCAAAGAAUUGAGGAUGUGAAAGCCCAAGUAAAAGCCUGUCAAACGCGGAAAAGAGAUACAUCCAACAGCACACCUGAGGAAUCCAGAGAAAAGACAAUGCUCUCCAAAGUGCAAAAAGUGAACCAUUCACCUCGCCCACCUUGGACAUUAAGAGCAUUAGAUGAAAGGUCUAUGAAAGGAAGUCAGAUCGGAUCGAAGGACAUUUCUCGAGAAGAUCCAACAGUAGCUCCUCGAUUGGCCUGUGGAUACUGUGGAAAGGCAAAUCACACUGAGAAUGAUUGCUGGCGGAAAAGGGGAAAAUGUUUGAUUUGUGGGAGUAGCAGUCAUCAACUUAUCAAUUGCCCGAAGAAACAGCCACGAGAGGGUAGUGCUCAACAAGUGGAAGGAACCAAACUGAAACAAACCCAUGAAAGAAGGAACCGAAUGAAUGGGCCAGCAAAAAGUUAUGCGUUAGGCAACCAAGCAGUUCCGGACUCGUCUGAGGCAAAUGAAGGUAAAAAUUUCGAGGACGAAAUUUCUUAAGGGGGAGAGAGUGUGAGAACCCGUAAAACCCUAAUAUUUUUUUCCGAGGGUUUAUUUCCCCUUAAUUGCAUGUUUUCUGCAUUUUCUGGCUUAGGAAUAUUUUCUUGAUGGAUUUUAUGAGCAAUUAGAGUUGUAAGAUGAUUUUUCUAGUAUUGGAGUAGUUUUAGAACAGUAAGAAUAUAUAUUGGACGUGGGACCCACGAGUGCGAAAAGUUCGGGAAAAUUCGGCCAAUACGGUUAAGUUUCGGAUACUGUGGAAAAUUUGUCGGGUGUUAAGAGAUAAGUAGUGUGUGUGAAGUGAUUGAUGUGAGAGAGAAAAGAAUGAUAAGAAUGCAUUUAAUGAGGUGCCAUGUGUCAUGUUCCCAUUGGGUGGACUUUAUGGUUUACUAUUCUAUUUUUUGACCUUUUGACCACUUGUUUAAAUAUCUUAAAAAUUGAACAAAACUUACCAUUUCUUGCUCCUUGAUGGCCGAACCUCUCAUCCAAGAAGAAAGAAAAACUCUUCCAAGUUUAAGCUUCCAACAAGCUCAAAUCACCCAACUCAAGUGCUUAAACUAGAAUCUACUCCAUAAAAUUCCUUCCUUUGGUGCUCUUGAGUGCUUAGUGAAGUUUUUUUUGGAGAGCUAAGGUGUCCACACUCCCUAUCUCUCUUGAUUACUUGGUAAGUGAUGCUUGAACCUCUACUACACCUAAUGAUGGUUAUCUUAUGCUUAGAAGUGGCUUGAGUGUUGGAAUAUAUGAUUUAUUUCUUGGUUUGGCUUGAUUUGGUGAAGUUUUCCAUUUUAUGAGGAAUUUUCUGGUUGCAUAUGAUCUUGAUGGUGUGGUUGUUUUUGAUGGUUGGUAAUAAGGGGCUUUGACUCUAGUAGGUGUGACUAGUUGAUAAUUGCAAUCAAUUUUGGAUUUGGAAGAAUUUCUGGAAAAUUAGGGUUCUUGAAGCUACAUUCUGUCCGAAAUUUUAGGUCAUAGCUAGAGGCCGAAUUGGACUUUGAUCAAAACAUGAAAGUUGUAGGUAUUGGUGAGUAUGAAGUGCCUACAAAAUUUCAGGGAAUUUGGAGUAGUAUAGAGAGAGUUAUGCCGUUUUUACUGUUGCUGUUUUUGGUGAACAGAAUGUGCGGAACUGCGAUAGUAAUUGCCUAUUUUGACUGGAUUUGGUUUGGAUUUUGAAGUUGGUGUCUUCUGAUGAAAUGUUACUGGAUGUCUUAGCUAUCAUAUUCCUUUGGAAUUUCGGCAUUUGGACUUGUAUAGACUGAGUUAUAGUAAUUACAGUUUUGUGUGAUUUGCAAACCUGUUUUGGGAAUUCUGGUAUAGUAUUUUGCAUUUUUGACCUAGUUGUGCUAGGAUUUGGAUUGAGUGACCUUCUGUGAUGUUGUAGCCCUAUCUUUUAGCUUCGAAAUGGUGGGUCUUACACCUUCGUCCGAUAAUCAUAGGGCAUUUGGUGCCAUUACCGCAAAAAGGAAGUCAAAAACUGUUUUUUUUAGGGCCAAAGCUAAUUGCAUUUCCGAAUUUUCUGGUUUUCUCUAAUGAUUGUAUAUGUUUAUGGAACCCUAUUGGGGUCAUAUUUGGCAUUGGUUUACGACUCGUUAUCGAGUCUCAUUGUACUUGCUUGCAUAUUUUAGGGCUUGACUUUCCUUUCCGGUUAAUUUCCUAGCUAAAUGACUUGAAUGACUUGAAGCCUAGUGAACGGCUUUUGGAAGUGAGAUUAUUUUUGUAUGAGAUGUUGGGACUGAUUUGAGAAAAUAAUGAAGCCAAAAUGGCUGGGAAAUUAGGUAAACACAAAGGGUGUGCUGCCCAAAUUUUCACUCAAGGACUAAGUUUUUAUUGGAAUUUGUAUAUUUUCGUUUGACAAAUAUUAUGACUGUUUUAUCAUUCCCAAACAUGAUACCUCUUCGAUUUAAAACGCCAAAUGUUUACUUACUCCGUACCCAAAAUAUAGAAGUGUGAGUUAGGGUUUUAUCGGUCACAAGUGAACUACUUUCAAGUACGAUUUUAAGAGUCUUUUUGUUUUUCCAUAUGUUUUUCAUCCUUGGUUCCCAACAACCCUCUUCUUACUUGGAAGUCAUCUUUACACGUUUUACUCCUAAUGAGUCGGGUUUCUUUGUUUUGCUCGAUAAACUAUAAUGUGUUCUCUUGUUCAAUCUUAGGUUUUUUCAGUGACUGAGGGUUAUCCGGAGGGAUAUUUUACACAUUAUUUUGCGUGCCUAGGUGAGUGUUCCUUGUUUGCUAUAUCCCUUGACUUAUUGGCCUGUUAUUAUGAAUUGAUAAUGUGUUACGUGCUUUCAAUGAUUGUUAAAACGCGUUUUCUAGGCGAGUGUGUACUUUAU